UACGGAGGGGGCAAGCGUUAAUCGGAAUUACUGGGCGUAAAGCGUGCGCAGGCGGUUAUUUAAGACAGAUGUGAAAUCCCCGGGCUCAACCUGGGAACUGCGUCUGAUACUGGAUGGCUUGAAUUCGGGAGAGGGAUGCAGAAUUCCAGGUGUAGCGGUGAAAUGCGUAGAUAUCUGGAGGAAUACCGGUGGCGAAGGCGGCAUCCUGGACCGACAUUGACGCUGAUGAGCGAAAGCUAGGGGAGCAAACGGG
rnacentral:rRNA from 1 species